GAUGAACGCUGGCGGCGUGCUUAACACAUGCAAGUCGAACGGAAAGGCUCCUGCUUGCAGGGGUACUCGAGUGGCGAACGGGUGAGUAACACGUGGGUGAUCUGCCCUGCACUUCGGGAUAAGCCUGGGAAACUGGGUCUAAUACCGGAUAGGACGAUGGUUUGGAUGCCAUUGUAGAAAGUUUUUUCGGUGUGGGAUGAGCUCGCGGCCUAUCAGCUUGUUGGUGGGGUAAUGGCCUACCAAGGCGUCGACGGGUAGCCGGCCUGAGAGGGUGUACGGCCACAUUGGGACUGAGAUACGGCCCAGACUCCUACGGGAGGCAGCAGUGGGGAAUAUUGCACAAUGGGCGCAAGCCUGAUGCAGCGACGCCGCGUGGGGGAUGACGGCCUUCGGGUUGUAAACUCCUUUCGCUAGGGACGAAGCGCAAGUGACGGUACCUGGAGAAGAAGCACCGGCUAACUACGUG
rnacentral:rRNA from 1 species